GACAUUAGCUUUAUAGCAUAUGAUGCUUCAGUGUUUGAAACAACUCAAGAUCUUGGAUCUUAGUGGGAAUGGGUUCAAUGCCACUCUUUUACCAUACUGAAUAACCUAACGUCACUUACCACUUUGAUCUUUUUGGGAAUAAUAUGGAGAAGGUCUCAACUCGCCAAACAAGGUUUAGCAAAUUUGAAAAACUUGAAAGUCUUGGAUUUAAGUUCGAAUCAUAUAAAUGGAUCUCUAUCAAGUCUAGGUUUAGCAAAUUUGACAAACUUGAAAAGGUUGGAUCUAAGUGGUAAUCAAAUCAACACUUCUCUAGCAAGUUUAGGUUUAAAAUAUUUGAAAAACUUGGAAGAGUUGAAUAUGAUGUAUAAUGGACUUAGCGGAGCUCUUAAUUCACUAGGUAACCAAUAUUUGUCAAAGUUACAAUCAUUUGGUGUUUUCUACCUGCUUUUCAAAUUCUAUUUCUUCUCUUGUUUUUUGGUUUUGUUUUUAUUUGUGCAGGUUUAGCAAAUUUGACAAACUUGAAAAGCUUGGAUCUAAGUGAUAAUCAAAUCAACACUUCUCUAGCAAGUUUAGGUA